rnacentral:tRNA from 1 species
GCCGACGUAGCCCAACCUGGUAGAGGCGCCGGGUUCAGGACCCGGAGGUUGUGGGUUCGAAUCCCACCGUCGGUA